rnacentral:lncRNA from 1 species
AAUGGUUUAAAGAGUCUUGAAAAAAACUAUUAUAAUAGAGAUGCACGCAAAAUUCUUAGAUUUUUGCCAAAUAAUUAGGAGCCAAAGGUGACUACCAUUCAAGAGGUAAAGAGAUCUAAAUAAACUAGCCUUUAAAGAGCUGAUUAAUUCACUCAUGAUCCAUGAGUUGAAUACGAACCAAGUGUUGCCCAGCUAUGCAACCCAAGAGGGGGGGGGG